GAUGAACGCUGGCGGCGUGCCUAAUACAUGCAAGUCGAGCGAACGGACGAGAAGCUUGCUUCUCUGAUGUUAGCGGCGGACGGGUGAGUAACACGUGGAUAACCUACCUAUAAGACUGGGAUAACUUCGGGAAACCGUAGCUAAUACCGGAUAAUAUUUUGAACCGCAUGGUUCAAAAGUGAAAGACUGUCUUGCUGUCACUUAUAGAUGGAUCCGCGCUGCAUUAGCUAGUUGGUAAGGUAACGGCUUACCAAGGCAACGAUGCAUAGCCGACCUGAGAGGGUGAUCGGCCACACUGGAACUGAGACACGGUCCAGACUCCUACGGGAGGCAGCAGUAGGGAAUCUUCCGCAAUGGGCGAAAGCCUGACGGAGCAACGCCGCGUGAGUGAUGAAGGUCUUCGGAUCGUAAAACUCUGUUAUUAGGGAAGAACAUAUGUGUAAGUAACCGUGCACAUCUUGACGGUACCUAAUCAGAAAGCCACGGCUAACUACGUG
rnacentral:rRNA from 1 species